rnacentral:snoRNA from 1 species
CCCCUCUCAGGGUUGCACCUGGAGAGUUUCCAGUCCUCUCCCAGUCAUGACUACAGGAGGGAGAGUCAAACAGAGGCCUAUCCAUUCCAUUCCCAGCUUGAGCAGUGGCUAGAGCGUGGAAGACAAUCUGCUACAAGU